UUGCGUUUGGAGGUGAGGGGGGCAACCGCGCCUAGAGGAGGUUGUCCCCAAUGCCCGAAUCCUCUCAUCGUUGAACUUGCCCACAUAGUAGGUCACCGCCGCUGGCUGAAUUCGCCCAGGUCGGCACCAUGCCCGUCUGCCCGCAACUCAUCCUUCCUGAAGAUGAGCAGAUAGGUAUCAUGAAGCUUCCUCCUUUCAGGUCAACCAUUUCCCAUUAUGUUUUCCGUUCAAUUUAUGAUUUUGUGGUGAUAUGGACAAAAUCUCCAUCUUUCUUUUUGGAUAUUAUACUUUUUCUAUGGCUACAAGGUGUUUAAUAAUAAUUCAACCAGGCAGCUGUAGAGGUUCACUGAAUAAUUUUUCCGUUGACAUCCUUAACUAGCUACUAGAGAUGUAUUACUGUAUUAUAUCAAUAUGUUGCAAUUUUCUUAAAUUCUGAUGUUCUGUGCACGAAUUGGAUCACUUCUGUUGGGCCUUCUUGUUGGUUGGUAAUAUACUGGUUCUUUUUGUGUAGGAUUAUUUGGUGUAGCAAGAAUGAUAGAGUUCUAGGCUGAAGCAAAGAAUGGACAGGGAAAUGGUUGCCUCAUAUGACCAAACUGAAUUUUGAAAUAAUAAUUUUUUGAGAGUUCAGAUGAGAUAGUAACAAAUCUGGCUAGGUAUAUCUCGCAAGUUUCAGAAAUCUCUGCUAAAUAAAGUGGAUUCUUCACCAGUGCCCUAUCUGGAGGGCCCCUUGUCAUUUUUUGCGACAAUGAAUUUUCUAUUCUUUGUUAGCCAUAUGCCAUAUUGUUUCUACACACUGAUUUCAAUACAGUAUGCUUUAUUACAUUUGAAGUAUCUUGUUUUUAAUUUAUGAAAGGAAACUUUGUGAAGCAUCGUACAACAAUACCCUGGAUUGGUUUAAAUGGUAUAUAUUUUUGGUCUGAUGAAUGUGCUAUAGCAAAGAACCAUGCAAGCAGUAACUAUAAGUUAACAAAAGAAGGAUUUCUAUCAAAGCUAUGUGGACUUUAGGAGGAAAUUCGCAAUACAGUCUAAAGCAAAACUACGGAUGUCCAUGGGUUUUCCCCUCAACAUUUUGCUUGUUUUGCAUCUAUUAGUUUCUGGAUAUUUUUUUGCGUGAGUUUCAUUUACUCUAUGCUUAUGAGAUGAUAGUUAUACCUUGCAUGCGAUCCAUGAUACAUAAUGUUGUUUCUUCACACUAUUUCUGUUAAAACCUACACUUGUUCAGUAUAUGAAGUCAAGUAGCCAAUAGCAAUAGGGUCAUUCAGGUUUUCCUUUUUCUCUUAUAGUAUAUGAAGUGCAUAUAUUUUUAAAUCAUUACAUUGAUGUCGCCGACAGUGCCGCCAUACAUGUUUCUUCCGUCGUUGUCGUCUAAAGGUAGAUAAAAUGCUCGAUUAGAUGAUCCCAGGUCUCUCUCUCUCAUCAAAUUUGAGAACAUGUUUUCAGGUCUUACAACAUAUAUAUCACACGAUCAUCUAUUAUUAUGGUCACAAUUUGAUCUCAUGACAGAAAUUAAAUGAAGGGGGGCAACUGGUUGGAGGAGGGAAACAAGUAAUAUAUUUUUCCUUCCUUUAUUUGCACCCUCUAAAAGGAUGCCAUUCCUGUGGUAGGUUGGUGAGUAACCAAGGUAUGUAUAAGAUAACAAUGGGUUUCCUAGACAAGUAUGGUCCUGAUAGAGUUCUCGAUACACCAAUCACAUAGAUCCUCGUGUUUUGUUCGACAACAACCGUGAUGGAACCGUUGACAUGAGGGAGGUCCUUUGCGGGCUGUCCAGCCCGGGGAACUCACAGGGCGAUGAUGUCGUGGGCUCUACUUUUAGAUGUACGAUGCCGAUCGAUCAAACAUCAACAACAAGUAGGAGCUGGCAUCGAUGCUUCGAGGUUUUUGAUUAUUCUAAGAACAACCUUUUGGAGUUUGGAUUACUCCGAGUAAUGAUUGUAGGAGCUGGGAGUGCUCUCCAUGCCCUGCUAUGACUGCUUGCACUACAUUAGUCUCCCAACACAGGAACGAAAUAACCAAACUUGUAGGAUUCUCUUGGCAACGUUGUGUCUUUGUCGGUGAAAUUAGAGAAGACUGCAAAAAUGAACAGAUAAGGAAUUAACAUGUUUUCUUUAUAUUUCAUAUCAUGAUGUCUAUGUGGUGCAUAUCGUACUUUAUAAUCUUAAAACUUAGUAACUUGUGUUUAAAUAUUUUUUCCCGAGAAACUUGUGUUUAAAUCAGAAGAGAUAAAGUAUUGCAAAGCUACAUUUAGUUUAUUUGCAGCUAGCUGCGCCAACCAUAACCUUGAAUUCAUUGUCUCGCAUGCUUGGGUGAGGCAAUGCUCCCUGUCCAGUCUAGGGACAUGUCUCAAAUAGGUUGAGUUCACAUAUUUUCUUGUUGACAAGUUUUUUCUCUCCACAUUUUGCAGGUUUAUAUCAGGUGCAUUCAGCCAAGUCAAAACAAGACACAAGCAAAUCAUUUAUCAAUAAACAAAGCCAACAUAUCAGCAACACAAAACAAGAUUAAUGCACACAACCAACAUUACAACGCAAAGAAGGGCUCUCACGAGGCUCGCAAUGGCGGCCCCAAUUAGUGAUACACCACUGAUCACGAGGGAGGACAAAAGAAAAAAGAAAAAGGGCAUCGACCACGCGUAGGGUCAUCCGGUGACGAACCGUGUACACUUGUGGCAAUCUUGGCUCGCACGAAACGUCGACGUCGCGGCGCCCGACCUGGCCACCCAAAUCCAAGC